GAUGAACGCUGGCGGCGUGCUUAACACAUGCAAGUCGAACGAUGAAGCCGGAGCUUGCUCUGGUGAAUUAGUGGCGAACGGGUGAGUAACACGUGAGUAACCUGCCCUUGACUCUGGGAUAACUGCGGGAAACUGUAGCUAAUACCGGAUACGACCCUCGGAGGCAUCUCCUGGGGGUGGAAAGAAUUUCGGUCAAGGAUGGACUCGCGGCCUAUCAGCUAGUUGGUGAGGUAAAGGCUCACCAAGGCGACGACGGGUAGCCGGCCUGAGAGGGUGGCCGGCCACGCUGGGACUGAGACACGGCCCAGACUCCUACGGGAGGCAGCAGUGGGGAAUAUUGCGCAAUGGGCGCAAGCCUGAUGCAGCAACGCCGCGUGAGGGAUGACGGCCUUCGGGUUGUAAACCCCUUUUAGUAGGGAAGAAGCGAAAGUGACGGUACCUGCAGAAAAAGCACCGGCCAACUACGUGCCAGCCGCCGCUGUAA
rnacentral:rRNA from 1 species